UUCCCGGUGGCCUAGCAGUUAAGGAUUCAGCAUUGUCACUGCUGUGGCACAGGUUUGAUCCCUGGCCUGGAAA
rnacentral:tRNA from 1 species